CAACUUUCAGCAACGGAUCUCUUGGCUCUCSCAUCGAUGAAGAACGCAGCGAAAUGCGAUAAGUAAUGUGAAUUGCAGAAUUCAGUGAAUCAUCGAAUCUUUGAACGCACCUUGCACUCCUUGGGUAUUCCUAGGAGUAUGCCUGUUUGAGUGUCAUU
rnacentral:rRNA from 1 species